AUUGAACGCUGGCGACAGGCCUAACACAUGCAAGUCGAGCGGAGCGGCGGACGGGUGAGUAAUGCCUAGGAAUCUGCCUGGUAGUGGGGGAUAACGUCCGGAAAAGGGCGCUAAUACCGCAUACUUUAAGAUGAGCCUAGGUCGGAUUAGCUAGUUGGUGGGGGAAAGGCCUACCAAGGCGACGAUCCGGAACUGGGCUGAGCGGAUGAUCAGGCACACUGGAACGGAGACCCGGUCCAGACUCCUACGGGAGGCAGCAGUGGGGAAUAUGUGACAAUGGGCGCAAGCCUGAUCCAGCCAUUCCGCGUGUAUGAAGAAGGUCUUCGGAUUGUAAAGCACUUUAAGUUGGGAGGCGUUACCAACAGAAUAAGCACCGGCUAACUUCGUGCCAGCAGCCGCGGUAAUAC
rnacentral:rRNA from 1 species